GCCUGGUUCUGCUUGAGGUUUCUUCCUGUUAAAAGGGAGUUUUAAAUAAAAUUGAAUUGAAUUAAAUUCUGUUGCUAUAACAUAAAAGUAUAAUGUAAAGGGCUGCAUUAAAAUUUUAAGUUAAGUCAAGAAAUAGAGUUUGUUCUUUUGUUCUUGACUGAGAACCUUCACAGACAGAGUUUGUUCUUGUAACACAACCUUACCUUAUGUUAUGUUGAUGAAAAAUCACGCGUUGUCUAAACUUUUGUCUUAGUUUAGUUGAGUGAGGUUUUUUAGUCAGGUUAACUACUUUAAUAGUCAUUUUUACUUGUAAAACUAUUUCAGCUAAAUUUAACAACACAUUCUCACUCCUAACUUGUCAAAUGUGUGACGCAUGGUCAGGCUCCCUCUGCUUCACUUACCGACGCGCCGGGUACCCCCCUCGCGUCGAGAAUUGACGUGGUGGGUCCUCUUAUUGAAUACUAUAGAGCUCCCUAGCCUGUUGUCCGUAUAUUUAUAUAUUUCCGAAAUCACAUUGUAGUGACGUAUACUGAACACAAUAAAUUACAUAAUGUAAACAACUACCUGAGAAACAGCAGAUACAGCAAAUAAAUUAAAUACAGGCCAUUACUUUUGUAUCGUUUAUUGCAUUGAUGGAGGGAGUGAUGUAGCUGGGUAAUGGCACAGCUAGCGACUGGGUGACUAUAUUCACCCGCUUCGGAUGUUAUCAGUCUACAAUGGGCGUUAUUAGCAGAAAUCAGUCCCAUAUCUCCACCUGCUAGAUUGUUCAGAAGGUUGUUAUCAUCCAUCCAGAUGGAGGAUCACUGACAGGAGCGUGGGAAGACUCCAGAAUCCACUCUGGCUGGAAUCCGGUGGAUACAGCAGUGUUACAGAACAGUUCUCCACAGUCACUGUCCACAUGGGUCAGUGGGACCAAGCAGCACUCUGCUAAUGUGUGGACUCUGACCAGCAACAUCCAGCAAGACCCAGACAGCGUUUUCUAUCUCCCAGCUGGAGUUUUUUGUUUGUCUGUGACUGGAGAGUCAGAUUUUUGUUGAGGCUGGAGGAACAGCCUCACACUGGCAGAGGUAAGUCAGUUUGCAGAGAUCCCUCCCUCCAAGCGGAAGCGAAUGGAUGGAUGGAUGGACACAGUAAUGUGAAGUAUGCUUAUAUCUAGUAUAACUGAACCAACGUGGUGCUCUUCAUUUAUGGAGGCUGUUUGAGUCUGAAUGUUGGAUGUUGUGUAUCUCGUGUUCUCUGGGCUUUGUUGUCCUCAGUCUCUUUGCAGGAUCAGAAAACAAAACCAGGAGGCGCGUAAAUGUUUCUUCUCCAAUUGGAUGAUGAUAAGACCAUGACACGGGAUGCCACCUUUAGUCUUCUGAUGAAGCAAAGCUCAGGAAGAAGUGUGAUUAAAUGGUAUCCACAUGUGUGCUGCUGAGGAGGAUGUACAGGGGUACCUGCAGCCAAAUCCAAGCCUCUUCAGCAACAGAUGGUGACGGUGUGGAGAGACGGUGGUGUUUCCUCAGAAGAACUAGCAGAGUCACAAAGGGCACCAGUCCAUCUCACCGCCUUGACUUGCUGACUGAUGCUUGUCUGCACCGCACAUUCCCCCCCCUCUGUCCCCUUCUGGCUGCCUCUGCCUCAAUUUUAUCCCACAACUUAGACAUUCACAUUACUCACACUCUCAUUACACAUACAUAUAGGAUCUUGGGG